UCACUAUAAAAAAUAAUGUGUUUGGAAAAGCUCUUAUCGGCAUCAGUUUGUUGUAUCGAUACAUUUGUAGUAAACGAUCCUAGGAAAAACUACCCUUUUGUCGAAAUGAUGAAGCCAGUACUUUUCACCUUCCUUUUGGUUGCGCUCUUUGCUGCGUACUCAGCAUCUCCAGUAGCUGAUGCCGAGGCUGCACCAGCUCCUUGUUGGUGGUGGCUUUUAUUGACAACCACAAGCACAACAACAACCACUACUACUACCACAACCACCACCACCACCACAAC